rnacentral:rRNA from 1 species
UGCAUAUCAAAAAGCGGAGGAAAAGAAACCAACUGGGAUUGCCUUAGUAACGGCGAGUGAAGCGGCAAAAGCUCAAAUUUGAAAUCUGGUACCUUUGGUGCCCGAGUUGUAAUUUGGAGAGUACCACUUUGGGACUGUACUUUGCCUAUGUUCCUUGGAACAGGACGUCAUGGAGGGUGAGAAUCCCGUGUGGCGAGGGUGUCAGUUCUUUGUAAAGGGUGCUCGAAGAGUCGAGUUGUUUGGGAAUGCAGCUCUAAGUGGGUGGUAAAUUCCAUCUAAAGCUAAAUACAGGCGAGAGACCGAUAGCGAACAAGUACAGUGAUGGAAAGAUGAAAAGAACUUUGAAAAGAGAGUGAAAAAGUACGUGAAAUUGUUGAAAGGGAAGGGCAUUUGAUCAGACAUGGUGUUUUGCGCCCCUUGCCUCUCGUGGGCUUGGGACUCUCGCAGCUCACUGGGCCAGCAUCGGUUUUGGCGGCCGGAAAAAACCUAGGGAAUGUGGCUCUGCGCCUCGGUGUAGAGUGUUAUAGCCCUGGGGAAUACGGCCAGCCGGGACCGAGGACUGCGAUACUUGUUAUCUAGGAUGCUGGCAUAAUGGUUAUAUGCCGCCCGUCUUGAACAA